CCUACGGGCGGCAGCAGUGGGGGAUAUUGCACAAUGGGGGGAACCCUGAUGCAGCGACGCCGCGUGGGUGAAGGAGUGUUUCGGUGUGUAAAGCUCUAUCGGCAGGGAAGAAGAUGACGAUACCUGAUUAAGCAGCCCCGGCUAACUACGUGCCAGCAGCCGCGGUAAUACGUAGGGGGCGAGCGUUAUCCGGAUUUACUGGGUGUAAAGGGAGCGUAGACGGCCAUGCAAGCCAGGAGUGAAAGCCCGGGGCCCAACCCCGGGACUGCCCUUGGAACUGCGUGGCUGGAGUGCGGGAGGGGCAGGCGGAAUUCCUGGUGUAGCGGUGAAAUGCGUAGAUAUCAGGAGGAACACCAGCGGCGAAGGCGGCCUGCUGGACCGCGACUGACGUUGAGGCUCGAAAGCGUGGGGAGCGAACAGGAUUAGAUACCCGUGUAGUC
rnacentral:rRNA from 1 species